CCCUUGAGUUUGANCCUGGCUCAGAUUGAACGCUGGCGGCAGGCCUAACACAUGCAAGUCGAGCGGAAACGAGUUAACUGAACCUUCGGGGGACGUUAACGGCGUCGAGCGGCGGACGGGUGAGUAAUGCCUGGGAAAUUGCCCUGAUGUGGGGGAUAACCAUUGGAAACGAUGGCUAAUACCGCAUAAUAGCUUCGGCUCAAAGAGGGGGACCUUCGGGCCUCUCGCGUCAGGAUAUGCCCAGGUGGGAUUAGCUAGUUGGUGAGGUAAUGGCUCACCAAGGCGACGAUCCCUAGCUGGUCUGAGAGGAUGAUCAGCCACACUGGAACUGAGACACGGUCCAGACUCCUACGGGAGGCAGCAGUGGGGAAUAUUGCACAAUGGGCGCAAGCCUGAUGCAGCCAUGCCGCGUGUAUGAAGAAGGCCUUCGGGUUGUAAAGUACUUUCAGCAGUGAGGAAGGUGGGUAUGUUAAUAGCAUACUCAUUUGACGUUAGCUGCAGAAGAAGCACCGGCUAACUCCGUGCCAGCAGCCGCGGUAAUACGGGAGGGUGCGAGCGUUAAUCGAAAUUACUGGGCGUAAAGCGCAGG
rnacentral:rRNA from 1 species